rnacentral:rRNA from 1 species
AGCAGCCGCGGUAAUUCCAGCUCCAAUAGCGUAUAUUAAAGUUGUUGCAGUUAAAAAGCUCGUAGUUGAAUUUCGGGAUUAGUACGUUGGUCGUGCCUUCGGUACGUACUGGUGUUACUGAUUCCUACCUUCUGACGAACCAUCAUGUCAUUAAUUUGGUGUGGCGGGGAAUCAGGACUGUUACUUUGAAAAAAUUAGAGUGUUUAAAGCAGGCUCGCGCUUGAAUACAUUAGCAUGGAAUAAUGAAAUAGGACGUUGACCCUAUUUUGUUGGUUUCUAGGAUUGACGUAAUGAUUAAUAGGGAUAGUUGGGGGCAUUAGUAUUCAAUUGUCAGAGGUGAAAUUCUUGGAUUUAUUGAAGACUAGCUACUGCGAAAGCAUUUGCCAAGGAUGUUUUCAUUAAUCAAGAACGAAAGUUAGGGGAUCGAAGACGAUCAGAUACCGUCGUAGUCUUAACCAUAAACUAUGCCGACUAGGGAUCGGAUGAUGUUAUUUUUAAUGACUCAUUCGGCGCCUUACG